rnacentral:rRNA from 1 species
UACGUAGGGGGCAAGCGUUGUCCGGAUUUAUUGGGCGUAAAGAGCGUGUAGGCGGCCAUGCAGGUCAGCUGUGAAAACUCGAGGCUCAACCUCGAGACGUCGGUUGAAACCGCAUGGCUAGAGUCCGGAAGAGGAGAGUGGAAUUCCCGGUGUAGCGGUGAAAUGCGCAGAUAUCGGGAAGAACACCCGUGGCGAAGGCGGCUCUCUGGGACGGUACUGACGCUGAGACGCGAAAGCGCGGGGAGCGAACAGG